AUUAGAUACCCCUGUAGUCCUGGCCGUAAACGAUGUGGACUUGGUGUUGGGAUGGCUCCGAGCUGCCCCAGUGCCGAAGGGAAGCUGUUAAGUCCACCGCCUGGGAAGUACGGUCGCAAGACUGAAACUUAAAGGAAUUGGCGGGGAGCACCACAACAGGUGGAGCCUGCGGUUUAAUUGGAUUCAACGCCGGACAUCUCACCGGAUAAGACAGCUGAAUGAUUGUCAAUCUGAAGGUUUUACAUGACUAGCUG
rnacentral:rRNA from 1 species